GAUGAAGAACGCAGCGAAAUGCGAUAAGUAAUGUGAAUUGCAGAAUUCAGUGAAUCAUCGAAUCUUUGAACGCACAUUGCGCCCGCCAGUAUUCUGGCGGGCAUGCCUGUUCGAGCGUCAUUACAACCCUCAGGCCCCCGGGCCUGGCGUUGGGGAUCGGCGGAGCCCCCCGUGGGCACACGCCGUCCCCCAAAUACAGUGGCGGUCCCGCCGCAGCUUCCAUCGCGUAGUAGCUAACACCUCGCGACUGGAGAGCGGCGCGGCCACGCCGUAAAACACCCAACUCUUCUGAAGUUGACCUCGAAUCAGGUAGGAAUACCCGCUGAACUCAAGCAUAUCAAUAAGCGGAGGA
rnacentral:misc_RNA from 1 species